GGAGCCUCGGGACAGAGCACAGGUGGUGCACCCUUGGGGAAAACUUAAAGUCAGUGCCUACGUGGGAAAGGAGCCUGAGCAGAGGAAUAGAGACAUACCUUAAUAUGUCAAACCACCCCUGAACCCUACCUCCACUGUACAACUCCACAGUGGCUGGGAUCCCCCCUGAACAUACCAACAAUAAGAAAAAGUCAAGGCCACAUGGAGUUGAUUCCCUACUAAAUUACUCAUCUCUGAAAACCAGGGACCAUAAGGACACCUUUCAUGUGUGGAUAGCGUCAUGAACACAGAUCUCUGCCACAACUGAGCUCAGAGUGGAAUUGUAAAAUGGAUUUCAAUCAUUCAGAAACAAACUCUGUCCUGCAGAAUUUUCUUGAGAUGUAUGUGGAAGAGAGGAAAAGCAUUAGACUCAAUAAUUUCACCAGCCCGGCCUUGAAGGAGCAAGAGGAGAUAACGGCCUCUUUUUACAUCCUUAUCAUCGUUGGAUUUUUUGGCUUCCUCCUUUUCUCCCUGAUGAUCAGCAAUAUUGUUUCCAACAAGCCUGAAAACUACAUUGACUAUCUCUAUUCUGGGAAGUUUAACAGCCAGGGAAAUGAAAGAGGACUUCAGAGAAAAGAAAGCAAAGACACAUUGGUAACGAUUAGCGACGAAGUGAUGGUGGACCCCAGCAACACUAGGGAACGGCAAAAAACUGACAGUAAUAACAACGAGCUUGAGACGCCAAACCAAGAAGCAGUUCAGAGAAAUGUAUGAAAGAGCAUUGAUGGGCCUUUUUUAAAGAAGGAACAGGAAUCAAAGAGUGAUUUUAUUGUUCACGAAAGUGAGAUACUGGUAGCACUGUCUAGUGUCAGGACAUAGCCCAGCCCGGUAUUGUGCAAGCUUCCCCUAUGCAGCUGUGAAAGCACCUCCACAGUCCUGAAGUGCAACAUAAUGCCCCUGUGCUGCCAGUGCUGGGUCUGUGCAGACGUGACUGGAAAUCAAGUCCCAACUCGUGUGACUCUUUUAUAUUCUCUUUUCUAAUGUGUUUUUAUAAUGCGUCUCUCAAAAGAACGAAACGCCUCCCUCCUUUAUGCUCCUGUCUUGUCACUGCAUGCACUAGUGGUUUUUCUAGCCGUGUUGGCAUUAUUAUUAUUAUUGUUCGUCAUUUAUUUAUUUGGUUAGCAUCAACCAUCUCUUCAUGGCUGUAUGCUAUACAAAAAUAAAGACCACCAA